rnacentral:tRNA from 1 species
GGAGAUUUACCAAAGUCUGGCUGAAGGGACUGGUCUUGAAAACCAGCAGAGGAUUAACGUCCUGCGGGGGUUCGAAUCCCUCAAUCUCCGCCA